rnacentral:rRNA from 1 species
AGCAGCCGCGGUAAUUCCAGCUCCAAUAGCGUAUAUUAAAGUUGUUGCAGUUAAAAAGCUCGUAGUUGAAUUUCGGGAUUAGUGCGCCGGUCGUGCCUUCGGUAUGUACUGGUGUUACUGGUUCCUACCUUCUGACGAACCGUCAUGUCAUUAAUUUGGUGUGGCGGGGAAUCAGGACUGUUACUUUGAAAAAAUUAGAGUGUUUAAAGCAGGCUCGCGCUUGAAUACAUUAGCAUGGAAUAAUGAAAUAGGACGUUCGAUCCUAUUUUGUUGGUUUCUAGGAUUGACGUAAUGAUUAAUAGGGAUAGUUGGGGGCAUUAGUAUUCAAUUGUCAGAGGUGAAAUUCUUGGAUUUAUUGAAGACUAACUACUGCGAAAGCAUUUGCCAAGGAUGUUUUCAUUAAUCAAGAACGAAAGUUAGGGGAUCGAAGACGAUCAGAUACCGUCGUAGUCUUAACCAUAAACUAUGCCGACUAGGGAUCGGAUGAUGUUAUUUUUAAUGACUCAUUCGGCGCCUUACG